AGUCGAGGGGCAGCGAGGGUAGCAAUACCUGUCGGCGACCGGCAAACGGGUGCGGAACACGUACACAAUCUGCCUCUGUCUGGGGCAUAGCCCGAAGAAAUUCGGAUUAAUUCCCCAUAAGAUAUUAGGGUGGCAUCACCUAUAUAUUAAAGAGUUUCGGACAGAGAUGAGUGUGCGUCCCAUUAGCUAGUUGGUAGGGUAACGGCCUACCAAGGCGACGAUGGGUAGCUGGUGUGAGAGCACGACCAGCCACACGGGCACUGAGACACGGGCCCGACUCCUACGGGAGGCAGCAGUGAGGAAUAUUGGUCAAUGGACGCAAGUCUGAACCAGCCAUGCCGCGUGAAGGAUGAAGGCCUUCUGGGUUGUAAACUUCUUUUAUCUGGGAAGAAAAGCACUGUUUCUACGGUGUCCGACGGUACCAGAGGAAUAAGCACCGGCUAACUCCGUGCCAGCAGCCGCGGUAAUACGGAGGGUGCAAGCGUUAUCCGGAUUCACUGGGUUUAAAGGGUGUGUAGGCGGGCUAUUAAGUCAGUGGUGAAAUCUCCGAGCUUAACUUGGAAACUGCCAUUGAUACUAUUAGUCUUGAAUUCUGUUGAGGUUGGCGGAAUAUAUCAUGUAGCGGUGAAAUGCAUAGAUAUGAUAUAGAACCCCGAUUGCGAAGGCAGCUAACUAAGCAGAUAUUGACGCUGAGGCACGAAAGCGUGGGGAUCAAACGGGAUUAGAUACCCUGGUAGUCCACGCCCUAAACGAUGAUUACUCGACAUACGUGAUAUACGAUGUGUGUCUGAGCGAAAGCAUUAAGUAAUCCACCUGNGAAGUACGACCGCAAGGUUGAAACUCAAAGGAAUUGACGGGGGUCCGCACAAGCGGUGGANCAUGUNGGUUUAANUCGAUGAUACGCGAGGAANCCUUACCUGGGGCUAGAAUGCUACAUGACGUAUGCCGAAA
rnacentral:rRNA from 1 species